AAUUCAUUUGAAAGAAAAUCGUUUAUUUCAUCGAUUACUUCAGAAAUGUAAGGUAAAUUCAGUAGAAAUCUACCGUUGACCUCUACAUCGCAAACAUUUUACUUUAGUACAAGGUUUACCUUUACAAGGUAAAAGCUUUUAUACAACAUUCAUUAAAGUACAAUUGUUCUCCCCAUCUUUUGCUACAAUUAAAACAUAGGGUCCUGCAGCAUUCUAUGACCAUUCACCUGGCUUCGUUUACAAACACUAAUUCACAAUAAAUGCAUGCGUUGAACCCAAUUAUGUUUCAACCCUGUUGUAGAAAAAUAUGUGCAAUGAGCAUUCUUUUUUAUGAUUUCUAUAACAUAAGUUCAGAAACAUAUAUUUUACAAACAUUAUCUACCAAUCAGGGGAGCGGCAGCACACUAGUGUUAUCAAGAAAUCUCUCCCUCAAAUGCGCGGUUCUUGGUGACACACAGAAACCCCUAUGAUGUUUUUGAAUUAUCGUCCUUCCGUAAUCUAAUUCGGCCGACAGUUUUCCAUAUGCAGUGACCUUACCAUGACCUUUCACGAUAAAAGUUAGAAAUAAUGCAAGGCGCAAGUUUGUAGCCAAAACUAUGUUGGAAUAAAAGAUAAAAAAAAAUAAAAAAAUAAUUAAAAUGAUAAAAACAGGGGGAAAAACCAUGCAAUAAAUCUUUUAUUUGCUAUUACAACGAAGUUGUACAUUGUAUUUGCAUAUGAAAUCACAUUGAAAAUAGAUAUUUAUAAAAAAAAAAAUGACAAAGAAAAAUCGCUCAAUCAUCUCAAGUAAUG
rnacentral:lncRNA from 1 species